CCACAGGCGGCUGUCAUAUGCGUUCAGUGAUGUUCAAUUAGGUUUCCAGAGAGAGGUCUUGGGAUACUCGUCUCUGCACAAAAGGCUGCAUAUUCUGACACUACAGUCUGUACCACCGCUGUUGCUUUCGCAGUCCCUGCUGCGAUUUCUGGCCAUCUGUCCAAGGAAAAUGGUCAUCAAUCCUCUUUAGCCAUCUGUCCAAGGAAAAUGGUCAUCAAUCCUCUUUAGCCACUACCGCAGAAGCGAUGGCAAUCAUUUCAAGGUUAAUGGGCUCUUCGCCUGAAGCCCUUAUUACCAUUCCAAGUAACACCCUUGCUGCUGAGCUUGCUACUAAUUUUAAAGCAGUGCCUCCAGCGGCUCCUACAAAAACUCAAGGGAACACUUUUCAAACUCAGACGUCCAACAUUUUCUUUGGUCCUGUAAAGACCAAUUCCAGCCCUUCUGACAGGGUUUUUGAGCAUGCUCUCCCACAUUCGUUGUCAUUGCAACUGUUGUCCAAUUCUUCUGAAACGAUAAACCCCAUUCGAAUAGCAUUGACCGAAAUAUUUUUCUUUUGAUAGCAGCAAUUCUACUCAUGAAAUAUCUCCAUCUCCCUCACCUCCUCUUGUGCAUAAAUUGUUUCCUUUGUAUUCUGGACAAGAAGGCAGAGAGAAUGAUAGCAUUUCCAUCUACAAGGAUGAUAUUCUAGCUCUAGAUGGAAGCCCCAGCAACGAUGGGUGCUCAAUAUACAAUCUUCCAAAGGUGGGAAUAAGAGGCCUCGCCAGAAUUUAGUGUAAGAUCUUAAUUUCAAGGUGCAGAAUCCAGGUCUCCUGCAGCAUUGUUGGUUAUACUUCAGCCUCUUCUAGAUCAGAUCUGUCUCCAGUUAGCUCUAAUUCUGAUUCACAGUUUGAUUUAUCUAUUUCCUUGCUACUGUGGUGCUUAUUCGGCCAAUAGGAACUACCGCUGCCCUGGAUCAAAUUUAUGAGAAGGCAAUGAAAGAAUGUGUUUGUAAGACAAUGGCUUUCGAAGUGAAUAUUGCAGACAUCGAAAAGAGGCUGAAAGAACACUUAGGCAGUAAAGUUUGAAAGAGAACAGUUACCAUUCUGCUAAAGUUUUCAGUGCUUUGUAUUGGUCUUGGUCUUCCAAAUCACCUUUGGCUGGUAGAGAUAUUAUUAAAUUUCAGAUCAUUGAUGAGUCAGGUAGGAGAGGAAGCCAUUGCUCAACCUUGGAGAAACUUCAUGCUCAGAAGAAGAGGCUUUAUGAAGAAGGAGUUGUGAAUUGGGAAAAAUAGAUCAGAAUAAGAAAUUGGUAUUGUUGCGCCACCAGGAGUCAAAAGGAAAAGAUGAGAAGAAGAUUGAAAAAACAAGAAUAUCUAUAGCUAUACUGCAAUCUCAAGUAGUGGAUACACACCAGUAUUAUUCAAUGGUUGCAUUUGUGCUGAAUGCAUCUUCUUUUCUUUAUCCCCAAGUAAUUCAUGGAGUGCAGCAACAACAUACGGUAGCAUCAAAUCAGCUUUAUCUUCUACCAGCAAAUUUAUGGGUUUUAUUUCGUAUUUCCUAGGCUUGAUUACAACAAAUGGUAUCAUUCCUAUCUUAACAUAGCGCCUCACUCAGAGAUUGGGUAAUCUUAGAUGAGAUGAACCCGGUGACUUCAAGUACAGGUUUAGUAGCAAGACAAGGUCACUAUCAUUGAGCAGUUCAAAUGCAGUUUAUACUGCAUGUAGGCUACAGAUGAUCAGAGGCAUGUUAAGUCAGCAAUACUUAACAUGAUUGUGUCAGGGUAAGAGGCACAAGUUGAUUAGUACCAAUUAUAGAAGAUCGAGACUCGCUGAGUUGCAAAAUAGCUAAAAGGGCUCAGAGAAUCUUAUCGUUUCCCUUUUUGGUUCAAGGGUGAUUGUUGGAUCCUUGUGAUCCAAAACUGUUUUAUUAUUAUGUCAUGUUAGAACAUAAUAUAAAUUAUUGUUCUAUAUGUGUUGAUGUUAUGUGAUGAGUGCUAGUAAUAAAUUGACAUAGUUUUAUAAAUUAGGUUUUCAAGUUGUACAGGAAUAGAUAGUUUGGGUAGUCGCACAAGAAGUUGAAAAGUGAAAGGCUUUAUAAGCCAAUGUAAUUUUGCAAAAGAUAAUCUCUAAUUUUAUAAUAUACUAUUUUGUUGGUGUU